GGGACUUUGGCCGAGCGGUCUAAGGCGCCAGGUUUAGGCCCUGGUAUCGCAAGAUGCGCGAGUUCGAAUCUCGCAGGUCUCA
rnacentral:tRNA from 4 species